GAUGAACGCUGGCGGCGUGCCUAAUACAUGCAAGUCGAGCGAACGGACGAGAAGCUUGCUUCUCUGAUGUUAGCGGCGGACGGGUGAGUAACCCGUGGAUAACCUACCUAUAAGACUGGGAUAACUUCGGGCAACCUGAGCUAAUACCGGAUGAUAUUUUGAACCGCAUGGUUCAAAAGUGAAAGACGUUCUUGCUGUCACUUAUAGAUGGAUCCGCGCUGCAUUAGCUAGUUGGUAAGGUAACGGCUUACCAAGGCAACGAUGCAUAGCCGACCUGAGAGGGUGAUCGGCCACACUGGAACUGAGACACGGUCCAGACUCCUACGGGAGGCAGCAGUAGGGAAUCUUCGGCAAUGGGCGAAAGCCUGACGGAGCAACGCCGCGUGAGUGAUGAAGGUCUUCGGAUCGUAAAACUCUGUUAUUAGGGAAGAACAUAUGUGUAAGUAACUGUGCACAGCUUGACGGCACCGAAUCAGAAAGCAACGGCUAACUACGUG
rnacentral:rRNA from 1 species